UCAUUCACAGAUGGUUAAUUUAUAUCUUUCAUAUUGUGAAAAUACUGACUUUACUCCAUUAGGAAAAUCAUCCUUGUAUAGAAUCUUACAAACAUGUGCAGCUUUAAAAAGAACAAGUUUACAAGGUCUAGACAAUAUUGCAGCAGAUGGAAAUGAGGCAUUUACAAGACUUGAAGAGAUGAUUGAAGAGCUUCAUAACAAGGGAUCUACAUGUAUGUCAAGUGAACAGCACAAGUUUUGUAAGGAUAAGCUUUCUGCAGCAAAACAGUACCUUAAAAUUGAUUUUAAACUAUAUUGUGCAUCUCAGAGUACAUGUGCAGACCACUGCAUUGCUUGGCUCCUCAGUGACCCAAAAAGGCCAGAAUUUUACUCAGCAUGUGACCAUGAACACAAUGUUCAGUGUGAGCAGUGUCAGCUGAUUUGAGAUGUUGAAAAUGUAAUUGUUCAGUCUGCUCAGUCCUGUGAAGAUUCAGAAGAGAAAAUUAACUACCUAAGUAAAGCCUUGGAUCAGAUACAUAACUGGAAGAGACAUAUAGUCCGAACAAUCAACCAAGACCAAUCACGACUGGACAUCCUAAAGGACCUCAAGCCUCAGCAGAAUUUAAUAAUCAUGGAUUUUGCAAUGAAAUUCCUGCCAAGAAAGUAUCGAGAAAAACAGAGCGAUUGGUUUGGUCAGCGUGGUAAGAACUGGCAUGUGACAGUUUGCAUCAUGAGAGAUCCUAGUGGAAAAUUGUGUCUCAGAACCUUUACUCAUUUGUUUGAAUCCGUGAAACAAGAUUGGUUUACUGUGGCAUCAAAUCUAGAAAACACUCUUAAACCACUGUUAAACUACAAGUUCCAAAUAUAAGAUCAGAUAAGGCAGGAUUUUACCACUGUGCUCCAAUAUGGCUAUCAAUUCAUGGCAUUAGUGAGCGGAUAGGUU